rnacentral:rRNA from 1 species
AACGUAGGAGGCGAGCGUUAUCCGGAUUUACUGGGCGUAAAGCGUGUGUAGGCGGUUUGAUAAGUUGGAUGUGAAAGCUCCCGGCUUAACUGGGAGAGGUCGUUCAAAACUAUCAGACUCGAGAGUGGUAGAGGGAGGUGGAAUUCCGCGUGUAGUGGUGAAAUGCGUAGAUAUGCGGAGGAACACCAGUGGCGAAAGCGGCCUCCUGGCCCAUUUCUGACGCUCAGACACGAAAGCUAAGGUAGCAAAC